AACGAUCACUGCCAUUGCAAUGGCGCGGUGCACUUUGCUCGUUCUCCUCGUGGCGGCGGCGGUGGCGGUCGUCCCGCUCGCCGCCGGCCAGCCGUGGGCUACCUGCGGCGACGGCACGUACGAGCAGGGGAGCGCCUACGAGAACAACCUCCUGAACCUGGCCCUCACCCUCCGCGACGGCGCCUCCUCCCAGGAGAUCCUCUUCUCCACGGGCUCCAACGGCGCCGCCCCGAACACCGUCUACGGCCUCCUCCUCUGCCGCGGCGACAUCUCCCGCGCCGCCUGCUACGACUGCGGCACCAGCGUGUGGAGGGACGCCGGGAGCGCGUGCCGCCGCGCCAAGGACGUCGCCCUCGUCUACAACGAGUGCUACGCCCGCCUCUCCGACAAGGACGACUUCCUCGCCGACAAGGUGGGGCCGGGGCAGCUGACGACCCUCAUGAGCAGCACCAACAUCAGCAGCGGCGCCGACGUCGCCGCCUACGACCGCGCGGUGACGCGGCUGCUGGCGGCCACCGCGGAGUACGCGGCGGGGGACAUCGCGAGGAAGCUGUUCGCGACGGGGCAGCGGGUGGGCGCCGACCCGGGGUUCCCCAACCUGUACGCGACGGCGCAGUGCGCGUUCGACAUCACGCUGGAGGCGUGCCGCGGCUGCCUCGAGGGCCUCGUCGCCAGGUGGUGGGACACGUUCCCGGCGAACGUCGACGGCGCCAGGAUCGCCGGGCCGAGGUGCCUCCUCAGGUCGGAGGUGUACCCGUUCUACACCGGCGCCCCGAUGGUGGUGCUGCGUGAGUAGGCGCUGGCCAUGCGUGAAGCUAGAAUAAAAUGGCACAAAUUAAGAGUGUUCCACCAGAAUAAAUGUAUUGUAUACUGAAUAAACC
rnacentral:lncRNA from 1 species